AUCGGGGCAGGGUGAGUCGACCCCUAAGGCGAGGCCGAAAGGCGUAGUCGAUGGGAAACAGGUUAAUAUUCCUGUACUUGGUGUUACUGCGAAGGGGGGACGGAGAAGGCUAUGUUGGCCGGGCGACGGUUGUCCCGGUUUAAGCGUGUAGGCUGGUUUUCCAGGCAAAUCCGGAAAAUCAAGGCUGAGGCGUGAUGACGAGGCACUACGGUGCUGAAGCAACAAAUGCCCUGCUUCCAGGAAAAGCCUCUAAGCAUCAGGUAACAUCAAAUCGUACCCCAAACCGACACAGGUGGUCAGGUAGAGAAUACCAAGGCGCUUGAGAGAACUCGGGUGAAGGAACUAGGCAAAAUGGUGCCGUAACUUCGGGAGAAGGCACGCU
rnacentral:rRNA from 1 species